ACCUGAGGUCCUGUCAAGGAAGGAAUAUGAUGGGAAGAUUGCGGAUGUAUGGUCCUGUGGUGUGACAUUUACAAUGCUAUUAAAUGCUCUUGAGGAGAUGAAAAAGGUUGGCUUUUGGAUAUGCUCAUGAAGAUGACUUCAGUUUGACACAAAUUGCUGCUUUAGUCUUUGUUUUUGUUUGGAAAGAGCACUU